rnacentral:lncRNA from 1 species
CCCCACCAUCUUCAUCUAUGAAAUCAGGCAGCCGAGAAUCAGGCAGACCCCCCCCACCCCCGCCCCCCAGCAGAAUUGCCCCAGGGCUCUGCGAGCUCUUCCAGAAGCUUCUUUUCCACACUUGGGCUGAGUGUGUCCUACAGGAGGCUCUUGCUGAAGAUGGACUAAACCACACGUGUUUCUGCCAUGAACUAGCGGUGUGACCUUCGGGGAGGACCUUCGCCUCUCUGCGCUCCAGUUUCCAGUCUGUGAAAUGAGGGAUAGCGACCGGGCCAGGACCUCCCACUUGGCCUCAUCCUGGGGUCUUAUUUUCUAUGGAAAGGGCUUCAGGUGGCCAUCUGUUUGAGGCAGGCGGCUGGGUGCUCGGUCCCCUCUCCUGGGUGCUCGGCCGCCCUCCUCGGGGAGGCUCUGAGGACCUUCUCACCUAACAAACACGCCACGAAAAAGCUCCCAGGACGGGGUUUCAAGGUCACGGUUCUGUGUUCUCUGAUUUGCCAGAACCACCAUCCACCUGUCUGUCUAAUCUGUCACCUUCUCCUGUCUGUCUCCCUUUCUGUCCCUCCUGUCACCCACCUGCCCACCCUCUGUCUCCUUUGGCUCUCAGCUCCCUCUGCCUCUAUCCGUCUCUCACAUUUAUCGCCGUUUGCUCCCACCUGUAACCCGAGAAGCCCCCGGAGUCUCUGAUCCCGAGGCUGGGACGGGGUCUGCGGUCUGCGUGCCGCUUUUCUACAAGCCCAGGCGAUGCUGCUGCGGCUGGUCCUGCAUCUUUUGCCCUUGCCAGCCCAGGGAGUGUCUUCGUGCUUGAGUUCAGAAGCUCCCGAAGGCGCUAAAAGUUUUGAAGAAUAAAGGCAUUGCAGACGGUCCCUGACUUGUACUGGUUCGCCUUGGGGUUUUUUUUUUUUUUGACUUUGGAUGGUGUGAAACUGAAACGGCUUCGGUAGAAUCGGUACUUAGAAUUUUGGUCUUUCCUGGGUUGGUGAUGUAUCAUGUGGUCCCUCUCGUGGCGCUGGGCAGCGGCCAUCGGCCAGGGCUCCCCGCCGGCCCCUCGGUCGCGGGAAGCCACCGACACCCUUAAACCCUUCUGGACCGUCCAGCCAGCUGCAGGCUAAUAGGAGGGUUCUGAGCACGGUCGGGGUGGGCCAGGCUAAGCUGCGAUGUUCUGUGUGUUAAACGCAGGUCUGACGCAUGCCAUUUCCAGCGAGCCGUGAGUUUAUCAGGACGUAACUUCCUUGUCAGCCAAGGAAGCGCUGUACCAUUUCAUGCACGCACCAAGAGUAACCAACAACCGGCUAGGUCCUUGUGUCCAACCUUGAAGUGACUGCAAUUUGGGGCCCCGAGGGCAUUUGUAUCACAGCUACUUGCAUUUGUGAAAUUGAUGAUGGCGCCGCCCCCACCCCGUGGUUGAGGCAUAAAACUCUGUUGAGUUGUAGUCACAUCCAGCGUUCACGUACCCAGGGCCCAGCUGCGUGUAGAAUCCUCACACAUCCCUCCCACACAGGACAUGCGGUGUUGUUUGUGGUGCUGAGAACCUGGGGUCCAUCGCCGGGACAGUGGACAGUACAGGAGGAGGGGGUGGCACCAGUUAGGGCCAAUGGACCGAGUCCACCCAACACCUCGGCGGGGUCUUCAUGCUGCUCCAAGGGAGAGAGAGGAGAGUGAUGCCUUUAACGCAGACCACUUAUGCAGGUUCUUGAGCCAUAAAACCUGCACAAGGGCACCCGUGAACACAGGGACCCUGGAACCCGUGUGGGAAGCGGGGACCUUGGUGGGAGCCCUGACAGAGGGGAUUAGAGCAAUAAAAGAGGCGAGGGGCCAGGGAGGGAGAUGAUGCCAGGUGGCGGAUGGCGGCUGCGCCAGAGUGAACCAAGGGAUCGGUAAUCAGCAGAUAAAAGGUGAAAAAAUUGAAAGUCAAAGGUUGGUCCCGGACACCCACAAGCGAGCAAGGAGACUCCUCUGUCCAGCGGCCUCUGCACCCUCUGUCACUGCCUGGGGGGCUCUCCUCAUCCACAUGGUACCUGCUUGCGGGGAAGCCCGGGCUCGGUCGAGAGACAGAGAAAGGGCUCCUGGGUUGUCCUGUUCCUCUGUCCCCCGCACCCUCCCAAGGGGCAGCGGUGGGGGGACUCCUUUCCAUCGUGGAUCUUAGCGCUAGGGCCCUCUGUGGGGCAGCUCACGAUUCAAAGGCACACAAGCCGUCCCUGGACCCAGUUACAUCAGAAUCAACCAAAGCUCUUGAUUUUCAAAAACCUUCAUUCCCUGUGCUGACUGCAUACCAGGCUCUCCAGAACUGGGAUUAAGGAAUGUGAAGAUUCUUUAAUUUUUUUUAUUUUUUUAUUUUAUUUUUUUUUACAUUUUACAUAAGUUUUCCAGGUGUUUGGAAUGAAACCCAACUUGGAACAGGGAAUGUAGCGGGAACCUGGGCCUCCAGGUGCCCAGACAGGACUCCCCUGCGCCCCCUGGUGGCGCGGACGACGCGCAGGCGGCCGUCCUGGGUGGGGAGCCCAGGGGCAGGUGUCUGGAGGAUGGAGGUGGAGCCCUGCCUGCCUCAGGAUGCUCGCAUCCCUUGCCCUCCAGCCCGUCCUGCGGUUUAUCCCCAAGGCCUUGUCUGGUGUGAUCUCAUUUGUAUUUUCACGCGUGCCUUUCCUGAGUCCAGAAGGUGGCUGUGGUGCUGGAAUUCUAGCGGCUGUGGCUGGAUGUCAGGGAGAUGGUUUUCCGGAGAGCUGUUCCUUCCUUCCUCUCACAUCUGUCCCCAUCUGCCCUCGGGCCCAGUCCCUUGACCUUCCGUCACUGCUCAGAGGCCUCCCUGGGGAUAUCGAAGGGACGGGAUGUUGCUUUGACCCCCAUUUUAGUGAACGUGAAAGGUGCUAGCACCGGGCAGCAGAGAAUGAGGGACACAUGUCUCUGGGUUUCCUCUUGAAGGGGACUUGCUCCCACUUUGCUAUAUCCAGCAACCGCAGAGAGCCAGCAUGAGCCAGGGCUGUGUGGGGCUGGGCUUCGUGGGUGUGUGGACACACAAGGCCUUGCCCUCCCGGGACUUAGAAUCUAUCCAGUGACCACACACAUACACAACUAAGUGUAGACGCAGUGAUGCUGGUCACUCUGAAUCCACAGGGACGGCUGGGAGAAGAGAGCUCGGCGGCAGGGUGGGCACGUGCAAAGGCCCUGAGGCAGGAAAGGACCUCUCCUGCGGACCGUGGCUGGAGAGGGAGGCAGAGCCGGACCAGCACGGCUUAGAGCCCUCGGGAAGGGCUGGGGUCGUGUUCUCUGAGUCCUGGGCAUCAUGGCGGGGUGUCAGCGGGGACUGACAUAGUCCAGUCUGUGUUUUUCCCCCUCGUGCAGUAAAUGCGGAUGGUUAAGAAACGUUAACUAAUCCCGGUUUGCAUAGAGUCAGGGGGAGGCAGGCUGUCCGGGGGGGGCCAGGUGACAGGAAGAGACAGCCUGACCAUCGGGGAGGCGAGGGGGGAUGGAGGAUGGGCCAGCAAACUUC